rnacentral:lncRNA from 1 species
GGGAUGUGGUGAAAACAGAAGACCCAUUGCAGGUGACUGCUAUUCCAGUAAUUGCCUCUUUGUGAAUUUUAUAUUGUUCAUCUUGUCUUAGUUUAGAAAUGUUGUUCCAGGCAAGCGUAAUGCUUUCUUCUGUCAGAUCUUCAAAUGAUUCUUCAUUUGGAGAAACUGGAGAUUCAGUUAUGGAAACACUGUGACUGGAUGUUCGAGAGGAGCUUUUCGGCAUUAUCCGUUGAGGAUGAGGAGUUGUGAACAACUGUUUUGGUGUCUGUCCAAACUCCAAGAUUUGCGUCAGCAGAGCUACUUUCUCAUUGGGAUCCAUAAUGCUUCAGAGAAACAAUAUGAUUAGUUAGGGCAAGUUCUUUCUUUCCACCCUGGAGGCACAGGCUGAAAGUACAGUUACUACAGUCACCACAGAACUGAUUUACUGCAGACACAACAGACAUUCA